UGCACAUAAUUAUCAAAAUUGAAAAAAUUAAAGUUUUUGAGAAAAAUCGAAAUUUCCAUUUUUUACAAUUAACAUGUACUUUUUUAGAUCGAAAAUUUUGCAUAACUUUUUUGUUAUUAAAGAUAGAGCUUUCAUUUAAAAACUGUCAAGUACUCCUAGCGAAGGGGCACCUUUCACAUAAUUAUCAAAAUUGAAAAAAUUAUAGUUUUUGAGAAAAAUCGAAAUUUCGGUUUUUUACAAUUAACAUGUACUUUUUUAGAUCGAAAAUUUUGCAUAACUUUUUUAUUAUUAAAGAUAGAGCUUUCAUUUAAAAACUGUCAAGUACUCCUAACGAAGGGGCACCUUUCACAUAAUUAUCAAAAUUGAAAAAAUUAUAGUUUUUGAGAAAAAUCGAAAUUUCGGUUUCUUUACAAUUAACAUGUACUUUUUUAGAUCGAAAAUUUUGCAUAACUUUUUUGUUAUUAAAGAUAGAGGUUUCAUUUAAAAACAGUCAAGUACUCCUAGCGAAGGGGCACCUUGCACAUAAUUAUCAAAAUUGAAAAAAUUAUAGUUUUUGAGAAAAAUCGAAAUUUCGAUUUUUUACAAUUAACAUGUACUUUUUUAGAUCGUAAAUUUUGCAUAACUUUUUUGUUAUUAAAGAUAGAGGUUUCAUUUAAAAACAGUCAAGUACUCCUAGCGAAGGGGCACCUUGCACAUAAUUAUCAAAAUUGAAAAAAUUAUAGUUUUUGAGAAAAAUCGAAAUUUCGAUUUUUUACAAUUAACAUGUACUUUUUUAGAUCGUAAAUUUUGCAUAACUUUUUUGUUAUUAAAGAUAGAGGUUUCAUUUAAAAACAGUCAAGUACUCCUAGCGAAGGGGCACCUUGCACAUAAUUAUCAAAAUUGAAAAAAUUAUAGUUUUUGAGAAAAAUCGAAAUUUCGAUUUUUUACAAUUAACAUGUACUUUUUUAGAUCGAAAAUUUUGCAUAACUUUUUUGUUAUUAAAGAUAGAGCUUUUAUUUAAAAACUGCCAAGCACUCCUAGCGAAGGGGCAUCUUGCACAUAAUUAUCAAAAUUUAAAAAAUUAUAGUUUUUGAGAAAAAUCAAAAUUUCGGUUUUUUACAAUUAACAUGUACUUUUUUAGAUCGUAAAUUUUGCAUAACUUUUUUGUUAUUAAAGAUAGAGGUUUCAUUUAAAAACAGUCAAGUACUCCUAGCGAAGGGGCACCUUGCACAUAAUUAUCAAAAUUGAAAAAAUUAUAGUUUUUGAGAAAAAUCGAAAUUUCGAUUUUUUACAAUUAACAUGUACUUUUUUAGAUCGUAAAUUUUGCAUAACUUUUUUGUUAUUAAAGAUAGAGGUUUCAUUUAAAAACAGUCAAGUACUCCUAGCGAAGGGGCACCUUGCACAUAAUUAUCAAAAUUGAAAAAAUUAUAGUUUUUGAGAAAAAUCGAAAUUUCGAUUUUUUACAAUUAACAUGUACUUUUUUAGAUCGAAAAUUUUGCAUAACUUUUUUGUUAUUAAAGAUAGAGCUUUUAUUUAAAAACUGCCAAGCCCUCCUAGCGAAGGGGCAUCUUGCACAUAAUUAUCAAAAUUUAAAAAAUUAUAGUUUUUGAGAAAAAUCAAAAUUUCGGUUUUUUUACAAUUAACAUGUACUUUUUUAGAUCGAAAAUUUUGCAUAACUUUUUUGUUAUUAAAGAUAGAGCUUUCAUUUAAAAACUGCCAAGCACUCCUAGCGAAGGGGCACCUUGCACAUAAUUAUCAAAAUUUAAAAAAUUAUAGUUAUUGAGAAAAAUCGAAAUUUCGGUUUCUUUACAAUUAACAUGUACUUUUUUAGAUCGUAAAUUUUGCAUAACUUUUUUGUUAUUAAAGAUAGAGCUUUCAUUUAAAAACUGUCAAGUACUCCUAGCGAAGGGGCACCUUUCACAUAAUUAUCAAAAUUGAAAAAAUUAUAGUUUUUGAGAAAAAUCGAAAUUUCUGUUUUUUACAAUUAACAUGUACUUUUUUAGAUCGAAAAUUUUGCAUAACUUUUUUGUUAUUAAAGAUAGAGCUUUCAUUUAAAAACUGCCAAGCACUCCUAGCGAAGGGGCACCUUGCACAUAAUUAUCAAAAUUAAAAAAAUUAUAGUUUUUGAGAAAAAUCGAAAUUUCGGUUUUUUUAAAAUUAACAUGUACUUUUUUAGAUCGAAAAUUUUGCAUAACUUUUUUGUUAUUAAAGAUAGAGCUUUCAUUUAAAAACUGUCAAGUACUCCUAGCGAAGGGGCACCUUGCACAUAAAUAUCAAAAUUUAAAAAAUUAUAGUUUUUGAGAAAAAUCGAAAUUUCGAUUUUUUACAAUUAACAUGUACUUUUUUAGAUCGAAAAUUUUGCAUAACUUUUUUGUUAUUAAAGAUAGAGCUUUCAUUUAAAAACUGUCAAGUACUCCUAGCGAAGGGGCACCUUGCACAUAAUUAUCAAAAUUGAAAAAAUUAUAGUUUUUGAGAAAAAUCGAAAUUUCUGUUUUUUACCAUUAACAUAUACUUUAUAAGAUCGUAAAUUUUGCAUAACUUUUUUGGUAUUAAAGAUAGAGCUUUCAUUUAAAAAGUGUUAAGUACGUCUUGCAAAAGGGCACCUUGCACACAAUUAUCAAAAUUAAAAAAAUUACAGUUUUUGAGAAAAAUCGAAAUUUCUGUUUUUUACCAUUAACAUAUACUUUAUAAGAUCGUAAAUUUUGCAUAACUUUUUUGUUAUUAAAGAUAGAGCUUUCAUUUAAAAACUGCCAAGCACUCCUAGCGAAGGGGCACCUUGCACAUAAUUAUCAAAAUUUAAAAAAUUAUAGUUUUUGAGAAAAAUCGAAAUUUCGGUUUUUUUACAAUUAACAUGUACUUUUUUAGAUCGAAAAUUUUGCAUAACUUUUUUGUUAUUAAAGAUAGAGCUUUCAUUUAAAAACUGUCAAGUACUCCUAGCGAAGGGGCACCUUGCACAUAAUUAUCAAAUUUGAAAAAAUUAAAGUUUUUGAGAAAAAUCGAAAUUUUGAUUUUUUACAAUUAACAUGUACUUUUUUAGAUCGUAAAUUUUGCAUAACUUUUUUGUUAUUAAAGAUAGAGCUUUCAUUUAAAAACUGUCAAGUACUCCUAGCGAAGGGGCACCUUGCACAUAAUUAUCAAAAUUGAAAAAAUUAUAGUUUUUGAGAAAAAUCGAAAUUUCGGUUUUUUACAAUUAACAUGUACUUUUUUAGAUCGAAAAUUUUGCAUAACUUUUUUGUUAUUAAAGAUAGAGCUUUCAUUUAAAAACUGUCAAGUACUCCUAGCGAAGGUGCACCUUGCACAUAAUUAUCAAAAUUGAAAAAAUUAAAGUUUUUGAGAAAAAUCGAAAUUUCCAUUUUUUACAAUUAACAUGUACUUUUUUAGAUCGAAAAUUUUGCAUAACUUUUUUGUUAUUAAAGAUAGAGCUUUCAUUUAAAAACUGUCAAGUACUCCUAGCGAAGGGGCACCUUGCACAUAAUUAUCAAAAUUUAAAAAAUUAUAGUUUUUGAGAAAAAUCAAAAUUUCGGUUUUUUUACAAUUAACAUGUACUUUUUUAGAUCGAAAAUUUUGCAUAACUUUUUUGUUAUUAAAGAUAGAGCUUUCAUUUAAAAACUGCCAGGUACUCCUCGCAAAGGGGCACCUUGCACAUAAUUAUCAAAAUUGAAAAAAUUAAAGUUUUUGAGAAAAAUCGAAAUUUCCAUUUUUUACAAUUAACAUGUACUUUUUUAGAUCGAAAAUUUUGCAUAACUUUUUUGUUAUUAAAGAUAGAGCUUUCAUUUAAAAACUGUCAAGUACUCCUAGCGAAGGGGCACCUUGCACAUAAUUAUCAAAAUUGAAAAAAUUAUAGUUUUUGAGAAAAAUCGAAAUUUCGGUUUUUUACAAUUAACAUGUACUUUUUUAGAUCGAAAAUUUUGCAUAACUUUUUUGUUAUUAAAGAUAGAGCUUUCAUUUAAAAACUGUCAAGUACUCCUAGCGAAGGGGCACCUUUCACAUAAUUAUCAAAAUUGAAAAAAUUAUAGUUUUUGAGAAAAAUCGAAAUUUCGGUUUUUUACAAUUAACAUGUACUUUUUUAGAUCGAAAAUUUUGCAUAACUUUUUUGUUAUUAAAGAUAGAGCUUUCAUUUAAAAACUGUCAAGUACUCCUAGCGAAGGGGCACCUUUCACAUAAUUAUCAAAAUUGAAAAAAUUAUAGUUUUUGAGAAAAAUCGAAAUUUCGGUUUUUUACAAUUAACAUGUACUUUAUAAGAUCGUAAAUUUUGCAUAACUUUUUCGUUAUUAAAGAUAGAGCUUUCAUUUAAAAACUGCCAAGCACUCCUAGCGAAGGGGCACCUUGCACAUAAUUAUCAAAAUUGAAAAAAUUAUAGUUUUUGAGAAAAAUCGAAAUUUCGAUUUUUUACAAUUAACAUGUACUUUUUUAGAUCGUAAAUUUUGCAUAACUUUUUUGUUAUUAAAGAUAGAGGUUUCAUUUAAAAACAGUCAAGUACUCCUAGCGAAGGGGCACCUUGCACAUAAAUAUCAAAAU
rnacentral:lncRNA from 1 species